AACGAACGCUGGCGGCAUGCCUAACACAUGCAGGUCGAACGAGAUCUUCGGGUCUAGUGGCGCACGGGUGCGUAACGCGUGGGAAUCUGCCCUUUGGUUCGGAAUAACAGUUGGAAACGACUGCUAAUACCGGAUGAUGACGAAAGUCCAAAGAUUUAUCGCCAGAGGAUGAGCCCGCGUAGGAUUAGCUAGUUGGUGUGGUAAAGGCGCACCAAGGCGACGAUCCUUAGCUGGUCUGGGAGGAUGAUCAGCCACACUGGGACUGAGACACGGCCCAGACUCAUACGGGAGGCAGCAGUGGGGAAUAUUGGACAAUGGGCGAAAGCCUGAUCCAGCAAUGCCGCGUGAGUGAUGAAGGCCUUAGGGUUGUAAAGCUCUUUUACCCGGGAUGAUAAUGACAGUACCGGGAGUAUAAGCUCCGGCUAACUCCGUGCCAGCCGCCGCGGUAA
rnacentral:rRNA from 1 species